AUUUCUUUCUGAUCACUGGGACACUUCUAAGUUGUCACAUACAGAGGCAGGGAAGCAAAUUGUUGAAAUAAUUCUUUCCACACCUUUCUGGAAUGGUGUGCAAGAUUGCUUGAGAGCAUCAUUGCCUCUUAUUCAAGUAUUGAGGACAGUAGAUGGAGAUAAGAGGCCUGCAUUGCCUGAAGUAUAUAUUGCAAUAGAAGAGGCAAAGAACAUAAAAUCAAAUUUUAAGGGCAUAGAAAGAAAAUGGAAGAAGAUCAUAAAAAUUAUUGAUAGGCGUUGGACAAGUCAGAUGGAGCGACCAAUAUAUUUGGCUGCAUUUCUCCUCAAUCCAAGCAAGUACUUUAAGCAAAUGGAGUUUGAUG